rnacentral:tRNA from 1 species
GCAUCGGUAGUUCAAUGGCGAGAAUGCUCGCCUGCCACGCGGGCUCGAUUCCCGGCCGAUGCA